CGGGUGAGUAACACGUGAGUAACCUGCCCCAGGCUUUGGGAUAACCCCGGGAAACCGGGGCUAAUACCGGAUAUGACUGGCUGCCGCAUGGUGGUUGGUGGAAAGAUUUUUUGGCUUGGGAUGGGCUCGCGGCCUAUCAGCUUGUUGGUGGGGUGAUGGCCUACCAAGGCGGCGACGGGUAGCCGGCCUGAGAGGGCGACCGGCCACACUGGGACUGAGACACGGCCCAGACUCCUACGGGAGGCAGCAGUGGGGAAUCUUGCACAAUGGGCGGAAGCCUGAUGCAGCGACGCCGCGUGAGGGAUGACGGCCUUCGGGUUGUAAACCUCUUUCAGCAGGGACGAAGCGUUUGUGACGGUACCUGCAGAAGAAGCGCCGGCCAACUACGUGCCAGCAGCCGCGGUAAGACGUAGGGCGCAAGCGUUGUCCGGAUUUAUUGGGCGUAAAGAGCUCGUAGGCGGCUUGUCGCGUCGACUGUGAAAACCCGUGGCUCAACUGCGGGCUUGCAGUCGAUACGGGCAGGCUAGAGUUCGGUAGGGGAGACUGGAAUUCCUGGUGUAGCGGUGAAAUGCGCAGAUAUCAGGAGGAACACCGGUGGCGAAGGCGGGUCUCUGGGCCGAUACUGACGCUGAGGAGCGAAAGCGUGGGGAGCGAACAGGAUUAGAUACCCUGGUAGUCCACGCUGUAAACGUUGGGCGCUAGGUGUGGGGAGCCUCUCCGGUUCUCUGUGCCGCAGCUAACGCAUUAAGCGCCCCGCCUGGGGAGUACGGCCGCAAGGCUAAAACUCAAAGGAAUUGACGGGGCCCCGCCA
rnacentral:rRNA from 1 species